UACGUAGGGUGCAAGCGUUGUCCGGAAUUAUUGGGCGUAAAGAGCUCGUAGGCGGCUUGUCGCGUCGACCGUGAAAACUUGGGGCUCAACCCCAAGCCUGCGGUCGAUACGGGCAGGCUCGAGUUCGGUAGGGGAGACUGGAAUUCCUGGUGUAGCAGUGAAAUGCGUAGAUAUCAGGAGGAAUACCGAUGGCGAAGGCAGGUCUCUGGGCUGACACUGACGCUCAUGCACGAAAGCGUGGGGAGCAAACAGG
rnacentral:rRNA from 1 species